CUCAAUGGCAUUCAAGAUAAUCCUUCCUGCCGUCCAAUCUCUGUCCGUAAGCUGCAAGGAUUGCUGAAACGGGGUGCUGUUAGCCAGUGUGUGCAAGUGCGUCAGAUUCACCAGGAGCAUGAUCUGCAAGCAAUUACUCUGGAUGCUGAUCCUGCAGAGCAGACAGCUCCAGCUGUUCAAGAACUGCUACAGGAGUUUGAUGCUUUGUUCCGGGAGCCAAAGGAAUUACCCCCUCGUCGUGCCUGUGACCACCAAAUUCCGUUGGUGCCAGGUGCAGUGCCAGUCAAUGUCCGGCCAUAUAGAUAUGCACCCCACCAGAAAACAGAGAUUGAGAAGCAAAUCUGUGAGAUGAUGAACAAUGGCAUUAUUCGUCGCAGCACGAGCCCCUUCGCUUCUCCAGUGCUCUUGGUUCGUAAGAAGGAUGGAUCCUGGCGCUUUUGA
rnacentral:rRNA from 1 species